rnacentral:rRNA from 1 species
CAUGCUAGAGCACUUUUUCAAUGUGCUCCCCAACGAGAAGGCAACAACGCAUUUGUAUGUCAAUCCAUAUCAACUUUCCAUGCCAUUGACUGCGCCUACCAUGGUGACCACGGGUAACGGGGAAUCAGGGUUUGAUUCUGUACAGGGACUCUGACAAACGGCUACCACAUGCAAGGAAGGCAG